CCUACGGGGGGCAGCAGUGGGGAAUAUUGGGCAAUGGAGGAAACUCUGACCCAGCAACGCCGCGUGAAUGAUGAAGGUCUUCGGAUUGUAAAGUUCUUUUCUAAGGGAAGAAGAAAGUGACGGUACCUUAGGAAUAAGCCUCGGCUAACUACGUGCCAGCAGCCGCGGUAAUACGUAGGAGGCAAGCGUUAUACGGAAUGACUGGGCGUAAAGGGUGCGUAGGGGGUUUUACAAGUUGGUAGCGUAACUCCGAGGAUUAACCUCGGCACUACUACCAAAACUGGUGGACGCGAGUGCAGGAGGGGCAAAGGGAAUUCCUGGGGUAGCGGUGGAAUGCGUAGAUAGUAGGAGGAACACCAGUGGCGAAGGCGAGUUGCUGGACUGUAACUGACACUGAGGCACGAAAGCGUGGGGAGCAAACAGGAUUAGAUACCCGUGUAGUC
rnacentral:rRNA from 1 species